GCGGUGUAAAAUGAGCGUGCGUCCUAUUAGCUAGUUGGAGAGGUAAUGGCUCACCAAGGCUACGAUGGGUAGGGGUUCUUAGUGGAAGGUCCCCCACACUGGCACUGAGAUACGGGUCAGACUCCUACGGGAGGCAGCAGUAGGGAAUAUUGGUCAAUGGGCGCAAGCCUGAACCAGCCAUGCCGCGUGCAGGAUGAAGGCUCUCUGAGUUGUAAACUGCUUUUGUACAGGAGCAAAAAAAUCCCUGCGGGGGGUCUUGAGAGUACUGUAAGAAUAAGCACCGGCUAAUUCCGUGCCAGCAGCCGCGGUAAUACGGGAGGUGCAAGCGUUAUCCGGUUUUAUUGGGUUUAAAGGGUGCGUAGGCGGCUUAUUAAGUCAGUUGUGAAAUCCUAGUGCUUAACGCUAGAAUUGCGAUUGAUACUAUUAGGCUUGAGUUAAGAAUAGGU
rnacentral:rRNA from 1 species